rnacentral:rRNA from 1 species
GAUGAACGCUAGCUACAGGCUUAACACAUGCAGGUCGAGGGGAAACGAUAUUGGAAGCUUGCUUCCGAUAGGCGUCGACCGGCGCACGGGUGAGUAACGCGUAUCCAACCUGCCCACCACUUGGGGAUAACCUUGCGAAAGUAAGACUAAUACCCAAUGAUAUCUCUAGAAGACAUCUGAAGGAGAUUAAAGAUUCAUCGGUGAUGGAUGGGGAUGCGUCUGAUUAGUUUGUUGGCGGGGUAACGGCCCACCAAGGCGACGAUCAGUAGGGGUUCUGAGAGGAAGGUCCCCCACAUUGGAACUGAGACACGGUCCAAACUCCUACGGGAGGCAGCAGUGAGGAAUAUUGGUCAAUGGGCGAGAGCCUGAACCAGCCAAGUAGCGUGCAGGAUGACGGCCCUAUGGGUUGUAAACUGCUUUUAUAAGGGAAUAAAGUGAGCCUCGUGAGGCUUUUUGCAUGUACCUUAUGAAUAAGGACCGGCUAAUUCCGUGCCAGCCGCCGCCGUAA